AUUUUUAUUAUUUUAUACUUGGAAUAAUGACACAUUUCACGGUUGAGGUGGACACACCCACAAAGUCAAAACAAAAAAUAUAAUAUACAUUGAUGCAGACUCAAGAUUCUACUAAAUAGAAUGAUACAUAGGAAAAGUACUUCUCAAUGGUGAUUCUGAAUAAAACAAAACUAAAUAUUAAAGUCAACCAUCUGGAAAAUUAUGUUGAUAAUGUGAUAAUAAAUUAGUAUAGACAGCAAUUCUCUGAGAAACUAUUUCAUCACACUUGUGUGUCAUUGAUGUAACUGUUUCUUAGACAUGAAAGAAAGGGGCUAGCCAGUUCAUGCAUAUUUAAUUGUAAUAAUACAAAAUGAAACAGAUAAUCUGGUUGUUUCUAAGCUUAUCCUCUCAGCUGUUGGUAUUUUUUUUAAAAUAUUGUGAACAGAUGAACUGCAUUUGUGAUGCAAAGCUGAGGCGCGGAAAGGUCAGAUUAGUUUUUUGCCUUAUAAUGGACUUGCAUAAAGUAAAAACACCAAUGCCAAUGGUCAUACCAUAUAGAACACAUUAUUACCUCCUUACAGAAGUCAUUGAAGCUAUAAGACCAGUCUGCAGAAGUCCUUGCUAAGACAUAGGAGGUAACAAAGUGACUCAAUAGCUACACCCAAACCCAGAAUGAGUCACUCAGCAACAUGAUAGGGAAGUAAUUCCAAAAGAAAAGGAAUCAUUCUGUAAUAAUUGGAGACUUCUAUAGCAAUGGCAGAAGCUAUAUUUAGUUAUGGAACACUAUUCUGAUGGUUUGCUGAGGGUGAUAGACAAACAUCCAGGAUAACUCUGUUGGAAUUCUGCAAAACCGCAGAUGUGUCGUAU